GGGGACUUGGCACAGUGGUAGCGCGCCUGCUUUGCACAUUUGUGUAGUUGCAUGAGGUCGUGGGUUCGAACCCCACAGUCUCCA